rnacentral:ribozyme from 13 species
AGUGAGAAACACCCUCUUUGGUUGAUUGUUGGCAGCCAUUUUUUUUUUUUUUUUUUUUUUUCUCUCUUUUU